rnacentral:rRNA from 1 species
CCUACGGGUGGCAGCAGUGGGGAAUAUUGCACAAUGGGCGCAAGCCUGAUGCAGCCAUGCCGCGUGUGUGAAGAAGGCCUUCGGGUUGUAAAGCACUUUCAGCGGGGAGGAAGGCGGUGAGGUUAAUAACCUCAUCGAUUGACGUUACCCGCAGCAGAAGCACCGGCUAACUCCGUGCCAGCAGCCGCGGUAAUACGGAGGGUGCAAGCGUUAAUCGGAAUUACUGGGCGUAAAGCGCACGCAGGCGGUCUGUCAAGUCGGAUGUGAAAUCCCCGGGCUCAACCUGGGAACUGCAUUCGAAACUGGCAGGCUAGAGUCUUGUAGAGGGGGGUAGAAUUCCAGGUGUAGCGGUGAAAUGCGUAGAGAUCUGGAGGAAUACCGGUGGCGAAGGCGGCCCCCUGGACAAAGACUGACGCUCAGGUGCGAAAGCGUGGGGAGCAAACAGGAUAGAUACCCGAGUAGUC